UACGGAGGGUGCAAACGUUGCUCGGAAUCAUUGGGCGUAAAGCGCACGUAGGCUGUCUGCUAUGUCCGAUGUGAAAGCCCUCGGCUUAACCGAGGAAGUGCAUUGGAAACUGGCAGGCUGGAGUACAGAAGAGGGUCGCGGAAUUCCCGGUGUAGAGGUGAAAUUCGUAGAUAUCGGGAGGAACACCAGUGGCGAAGGCGGCGACCUGGGCUGAUACUGACGCUGAGGUGCGAAAGCGUGGGGAG
rnacentral:rRNA from 1 species